CUCAAAUUCACUCCCUCUCAUACUCCCUUUGCAAAAAGCUUUCUAGCUUUUGCAACUUUGCCUUGGAAGUGUAGAGCUUCAAGUUUUUGCAACUUUUGCCUCAUAGUUUAGAGCUUCAAGCUUGUGCUUUGUAGAGGUGACAUAUAUAUAUAUAUAUAUAUUGCAUAUGGGAAAGUAUUGCUGUUCUGAAGAUGAUGAUGGUGGUAUUAGUCUCGCAACAGUUCUGGUGGUGAUUGUCGUAGCUCUUGUCAUUAUGACAGUUUUCUCUCCACCACCGCGGCGUGGCCGGGUUGUUGCCGUGUAUCGCUGCUGUUGAGUCUUGACCUCUCAGUAAUUUUUCUCCUUUUUCCUGCAUAGAGGUGCUGCUAAUAAUCAUGGUUGGUUUCAUAGUUAUAUUGGUUCAAUCUGAUGUAAAUCAGAUGUAAUAUGUGCUUGUGACAAGGUCUUGGAAACAUGAUCUUUUCCAGUUGUAAUAAGACUCGGAGGCAAUUUAUAAAUUCAUAAUAAAUUAGAUCUUGUUUUGCUCUCUCUAAUUUUAUGGUACUUGUUUCUGCUUUCAUGUGCAUUCUUCCAAGUUCAUUUCCUUAUGAUCCACCUUCACAAAUCACAAUAUUUAGCUAAGGGAUUUUUCUUUUGGUGGCUUGGCCUUCUUGUGUUUUUUUCCCCCCAGAGAAAUGAUUGGGAUUUAUUAUUUUAUUUAUUAUUAUUUUUUUUUUGUGGUAAGAAAUGUGGCCAAGAAGAAAUUGUCCCAAGUAUGAAAUUUCCUUGGAUUUUCUUUGGCCAGAGAAACUUCCUUGGUUGACUAACAACAAGACUUAGUCCUCAAAAAGUGUUCGUCUUGAAAGUUCUAGUUGACUUCCAAAACUCUGCUUCCUUAACUUUGCCUAUGUGUGUGUGAAUCCAAAAAAAAGGUAUG
rnacentral:lncRNA from 1 species